CAAUAGCGUAUAUUAAAGUUGUUGCAGUUAAAAAGCUCGUAGUUGGAUUUCUGGUGGGAGCGAUCGGUCUGGCGCUUAGCGCGAGUACUUGCAUCGUCUCCGGCCAUCCUUGGGGAGAGUCUGUCUGGCAUUAAGUUGUCGGGCAGAGGAUCCUCAUCGUUUACUGUGAAAAAAUUAGAGUGUUCAAAGCAGGCUUAUGCCGUUGAAUAUAUUAGCAUGGAAUAAUAAGAUAGGACUUUGGUACUAUUUUGUUGGUUUGCGCACCAAAGUAAUGAUUAAUAGGGACAGUUGGGGGUAUUCGUAUUCCGUUGUCAGAGGUGAAAUUCUUGGAUUUACGGAAGAUGAACUACUGCGAAAGCAUUUACCAAGGAUGUUUUCAUUAA
rnacentral:rRNA from 1 species